UUUUCUCCUUGAUAUUCCCAUCCUCGCAGCCUCACGAACCCAUCCACAUCCCACAUCACGCUCUCGAAGACUUUGAAUCCUCUCCCUCCCUACUCUUUCUUCUUCCUGAAGUCCUUAAUUUGGCCCUCUCUAUAAAUGCUGUCUUCCCAACCGAACAGCUCUCCCUCCUCUAGAGCAUCACAAGUUUAUCAAAUUCCUUCCGAGAUUGAUUCUGAAAUCUGCAUGGAUUCUUCUGACUGGCUCAGUAACUCACUGCAACCAAUCUCCACUCCCUCUAUGGUUUUCUUCCAUGGUGGUUACAUCAACAGCUUAAGCCUAUUCUCAACUCCUUGUUUAUUUUAUAUGAAUUUUAGGUACAUUUUCAUUCUUUUUAAAAUCUUUCAACCUUCUUUUAAAGUUUUUCAAUCUGAAAAGUUUCAUGAAAAAAAAAAAUUGACUGUUUCAUAUGCAGUAAUCAUCAAACUUAUAAGAGAAUUGCAAUUGUUUAAACAUGGAUCGAUAAGAUUUUCUUGCAAAGGGUGCAAUUUUGGCUUUGGCCGUGCGAGGAACGAGAUUGCUCGGUCACAAUUAAAGAGGGGAGAAGAAGAGGCCAAGGAGAGGGUCUCCUUCCUUUUACUCUUGCAACUGUGAAUGCAUUAAAUUAACUAAAGCGACUAAAAGAAAUAUAACAGAGGUACAUGUUUGGCUGCGGUUGCCUAAGAAACGAAUAAUUUCGAAAAGAGUUUUGGAAACAUUUCAUUAGAGGGAACUCCUUAGAUCUCUCGACUUUUGCACGUAGAAACCAAUAAGUUUAAUGUGAUGCCACGGAAGAAAGUACGCAGUUAAAAAUAUUAGUUUCUUUUGUACUUGAGUCCUUUGUUUAAUUGGAAACUCCAGAAGCUCAAUUACCAACGAUCAUCAGCUUGAUCGCAUUUUCCAGCUUUAUGUGCUCCAUCAUGAGCUCCAGCUUUAUUAUUUGUCUAUUUUUUUGCACUGAAAUGCAUUUUUUGGGAAUUCCUGGGCCACAAUUCACGCAUUCCAAUGACGACGACGACGAUGAUGAUUGGAUAAAUGAUUAUGAUCUCUUUCUUUUCCUUUCUUUUUUUUAUUUUUUUUCUUCUCCUUGACACAGAGCAUCGUUCAUGAGGAAAGUGGAAUGGUUUCCUCCUCUCCAUCUGGGGACUGAUCUCGUGCUCAGGCCACCGAUGAUGGAGCGAAGGCUGAGGCCCAGCAUGAUCAGGCUCUCAAGUGCCCCAGGUGCGACUCAACCCACACCAAGUUUGUGCUACUAACAACAACUACAGCCUCUCCAGCCAAGGUACUUCUGCAAGACCUGCAGGAGGUAUUGGACCAAGGGGGGUCCUUCGGAAUGUACCUGUCGGGGUGGCUGCCGGAAGAACAAGGGUCGGGGGCUAAGAAGCCAUCUGAACACCUCAGCAGUCUCAUCCUUUAGGAUGGGACCGACCUCCACCUCUCCUUCUCCGGGGUGCAAUUCCCGCACCUCGGGUCAUUGGCUGACACACCUCGCACCUAACUUCAUAGAGUGCAAGUACAAUCCAUUGCUCGAGAGCUCUGCGGGUGGUCUUGAUCUUAUGGACACCAAGUUUGGAGCCAUGAUGGGGAGCUCCAGGGGCCAUAGCUUCAGUGAAGUGGGACUCGGAGAGACAAGUCAUGGAUUCACACUUGGUGGCUUCCCUGGCGUUAACGAGCUUGGGUGCUCUGUUGACGGGAACCAUGGAUCACUUGUGGAAGCUUGCCAGAGGCUGGCCCUCCCAUUUGAAGCGCAUGUGGACCCCAAUGCAGUGGAGGUGAAACCAGACAAUAGGAUUCUAUCACUGGAGUGGCAAGAUCAGUAUUGCGCUGAGGGGGGCGCGAAUCAAUUGGGUACUCCGGAUUGUGGGCUGGGAUGAUCAAUUGCCAUGGACCUCAACAACCAUCUGAAGUAGAGCUAGCGAUCCCAGUUCCUACUCUCAGAAUACUAAUAUAACCUAUUAUGGAAAGCUUUUUCCUUUUGUUUAUUUUGAAUGCUUGUGCUUUUCCCUCCAAGUGAUUUCCCAUUUCUUUACCCAAAAAAGAUUUCCCAUUUCUAUGAGGGCCAUUGGGGGCCAUGGAAAAUCUUUUGAUCUUUCUUUCUUUGGAGUAAGAUGUUUGGACUCAGAAGUAUCCAUUAGCUUUUGUUGCUCUAUUAACAUCUGUGUUCACUUUGGAGAAGAAUGACUCGUCUUUGUUGCAUAACAUAGUAGGGCUGCUUAUCUAAGACUAAUAUAAAGCAUAAACUUCAUUGAAGCUUCUCAAUGGCGAAAGCACUGUCAAUUUGUUAGAUGGAAACAUAAGAAUGGCCAUUCAUGGUGACGAUGCUGUUCCAAUUGUGCUUUUGGCAAUGCCAUGCCCUACUUUGUUAUCAAGUGAUGUGCUUUUAAUUCCUCAAUAUUAAGAUUCGUAUGGUUGCUUGUAAA